rnacentral:tRNA from 1 species
GCUCCUGUGGCGCAAUCGGUUAGCGCGCGGUACUUAUAAUGCCGAGGUAGUGAGUUCGAGCCUCACCUGGAGCA